UACAUAGGGUGCAAGCGUUAAUCGGAAUUACUGGGCGUAAAGCGUGCGCAGGCGGUUAUGCAAGACAGAGGUGAAAUCCCCGGGCUCAACCUGGGAACUGCCUUUGUGACUGCAUAGCUAGAGUACGGUAGAGGGGGAUGGAAUUCCGCGUGUAGCAGUGAAAUGCGUAGAUAUGCGGAGGAACACCGAUGGCGAAGGCAAUCCCCUGGACCUGUACUGACGCUCAUGCACGAAAGCGUGGGGAGCAAACAGG
rnacentral:rRNA from 1 species